ensembl:lncRNA
CUUCGCCAAUCCUUCAGCUACAGACACCACUUUCAAAUGUUGACACAAGUCUCAAGUAUUUUGUAAAAAAACUGCUUGUUGAUAUCUAUUCUACUUUUUUCAUAAUCACUGAUUAUGUUUCACUAGUUCUUCGUUCCGUUUCUGAGUUUUACAUGAGUGUGUAUUGCGUUUCUUAGAGUGAGACCUGGAGAAGCUAGAGUGUAGAGCAGCGUCAGAAUGUGGUUAAAAAAAUAUGGAACUUCCGUCCUUUUAGCCAGAGUAUACACUUUUGAGGCUUUUAUUUCUUUGGAUUAAUGAUGGCAUGGUUGUGCUGAUUGGAUUAAUGUGUUCAUGGAAUCCCAGAGUUUCUUUAGUUUUGGCUUCCGGAGUGUUAAAGUGACACAACCUCUGCCAAAAGCCCCAUAGGCUCUAAUACAAAUCUGCCGACAUAUUUCUCAAAAAAUCCAGAAGGUACACGUUUUGUAAACUGCGACAGGAGCCGUAUUUAUUACCGAACAGACAUAAAAAUCACAUCCAUGCGUUCGGUCUCGCAAAAACGUCUUAUUAUUUAUAGCUGUUAAGUUUUGCGUUAGAGGACACUUCUUUGAGGUGUGGAUUCUGUGUAACUCGCUGUCCUGUCUUUGCCCUGUUCAGCAGCUCGUUAAUGAGCCCAGGUGCGCCGUUGCCGUGGAUACUCACACACACGCUGCAGUGUCUCUGUCUGUGACUCACAGCUGCUCCUAUUACCUGAUUAGUGGAGUCACAUAACGCAGCUAUGCUUUCUGUCAACAGACCAACAUGAUGAAGACACUCCCCCCCCCCCCUCCACCCUGACCUCUUCUCACUGUUAAUCACUCACUCAGUCAGUCUGUCUAUUUCUCCUCCUCUCUCUAUCUCUUCCUCAACACCCCUCCCUCCCUCUAUCUAGCCUCCCCUCCACCCACCCAAUCCAAUAAUUUCAAAAUAAAAUCCCCAUGGAGGGAAUUCUUACUGUAAUGUUUGUGAUGAGGCCUAUUAAUUAAAAACUUCUUAGUUUGAAUAACAAACAUUCUGUCUCCCAACCCCCCUCACCCAAUUCCAUCAUAUCAAAAUGAAAGCCUAAAUGAUUAUCUGUACAUUAACCAUGAAGCUAAGAACGAAGCGGUUUCGUUGAAAUACGUAUUGCUCUUUCAAAUACUACUACAACCACUAUGAAUAUUACUUGUACUUCUAGUAGUACUACUAAAACUAAUAUUUCUACUACCAUAACUAACACUACUGCUAGUAUUUCAAGUAGUACUACUCUUACAACUAUCAUAAAAAGUACUACCAGUAUUUAUAUAGGUAUACUACUAAUGUUACUACAAAUACUACUAUGGCUAAUAGUAUUAGUAUUACAGCUGUUUUUACUGCUAUUGACACCAAACCUACUAUUACUACCUCUACUGCUAGUACUUCUAAUACUACUACUGAUAUUACUACAAACAAUUUAAAACCUCUUUUUAUUCAUCCAAGCUUUUAUUUCUGUAUUUUUUUUAAUUGAUUUAAGCUCCUGUAACUUAUGUAUUUUUUAGAAAAUCUAUUGGAAUUUAGCUCCUCCCAUUUCUGUAUUUCCAGUUCUUUAAAAUAAUUUCAGCUUUUCUUAUGCAAUGUUUUAAUAUUCAUUUCAGCUGUUUUCAUUACUGAUUUUUCAGCAAAUUUAUUGAAAUUCCUUUCAGCUUCUCCCAUUUCUGUAUUUUCAGCCAUUUCAAAUUAAUUUCAGCUUUUCUAAUAAAAAUGUAAUUUCAGCAAAUGUAUUCAAAUUCGCCCAUAGUUGCCCAUAUAUAGUCUGUGGAACGCCCACAAAUUAAUAUUCAUCGAUUGCGAAAUCAUGGCAAACACUGAGAGGAAAACAAAGAAACGUAACUUCACUCAGUGUGAAGUCGAAAUGAUCAUUGGCGAGGUGGAAAUGAGGCCCCAUAUCAUUUGAUCAGUCAAUCGUACCGUUGAUCCGGUGUGUUUGUGUUGAUCUUUAAUGGUCAGAAUGAGCUGCUGCUUCUGCUCCCUCAAGUCCCCCUUUAUACAUUACAGCUUAAGAAACGUGAUUCCAUGGUUACCCGGAGGAGGUCGGCAAGGAAUAUGGGAAUCCACUCAUCAUGUAGAUAUAGUGACUCAAAGUCACACUAAGCAAAGUGUGGCUUUGGGUCAGCCAGUGGAAGUUUACAAAAAUGAUUUGAAUAGACUCUUUCUAAUGAUACUGUACCUAAAAUGUUGAUCCACUUAAGUCAUUGGAGUCAUCAUUUAAAGUCUUUAGUACAUAAAACAGUGACUUUAGGUCAUGUGACUUGAGUCCUGUCGAUGCCGCGAGAAUCCUAACUGAACAUUUGUUCUUGUUACGUUCCCCGUGCACUGCAGGAGUGUUGUUUAUUGUUUGAUUACACUUUGAUUGGUUUCCUGUGAAUUGCCCCUCCUCUAGGUCGCUGUGACUGGCGGAUCGGUCGUCAGUGGGGCGGAGGACGAGGGCCAAUCAGGAGACGGAGCCGCUGCUUAAGAGGGACGGCGGGCUCAUUCUCUGGAACCCCUCUCAGUAGUGCUGACGCUCAGGGCCGCCGAUUGUGGGCUGCUCUCCGGCACCCAGAUUGUUGUGCAUUUCAGACUGUUUUGGAUAAGUGUUUUCGUGUCAUCAGCGGCAUCAGCUGCAAAACCGCGCCGGGGGGAAGAACGGUAGGUUAGUAUAUCGCGAUAUACAUCCUGCCCGUAGUUGUCCUGUGUAUAGACACCCUAGGGUAGAGGUGGCGCGCGUCUAAAGGUCCGCUUAGCGCGAAUGCAGGUAGAGGCACGCGAACGGGCAGAAAGCCGUCGGCUUGAGGCAGAUAUCAAGUUCCGACUUGAAAUCCGUCGACUUGAAAUCGAGGCGGAAACGCAGAUUAAGCUGCGGGCAUUGGAAAUAAGGGCAGCGGACAGAACACCGGUUCCGGGUACACAACCGUCGCAGUCUGCCGAUGCUGGCUCGGCGGGGACCACCUUUGAGG